AACGAACGCUGGCGGCAGGCUUAACACAUGCAAGUCGAGCGCCCCGCAAGGGGAGCGGCAGACGGGUGAGUAACGCGUGGGAAUCUACCGUGCCCUACGGAAUAACGCAUGGAAACGUGUGCUAAUACCGCAUACGCCCUUCGGGGGAAAGAUUUAUCGGGGUUUGAUGAGCCCGCGUUGGAUUAGCUAGUUGGUGGGGUAAAGGCCUACCAAGGCGACGAUCCAUAGCUGGUCUGAGAGGAUGAUCAGCCACAUUGGGACUGAGACACGGCCCAAACUCCUACGGGAGGCAGCAGUGGGGAAUAUUGGACAAUGGGCGCAAGCCUGAUCCAGCCAUGCCGCGUGAGUGAUGAAGGCCCUAGGGUUGUAAAGCUCUUUCACCGGUGAAGAUAAUGACGGUAACCGGAGAAGAAGCCCCGGCUAACUUCGUGCCAGCCGCCGCCGUAA
rnacentral:rRNA from 1 species